ensembl:lncRNA
UCCGGUCUCUUUCUAUAUCUAUUGGCCAGCCUCUGUGACUAUCGUAUCACGACCUUACAGUCUAUUAGUUGGCCUUGUGGUCAGUCAAAAUGAACCCUAACAAUGGGGAACUCCAUUGGCGCCAGAUAUUGUCGGUCAUUUUGUCACGGGACGUCGCGUGGUACAAUUGGUCUGUGAGAAUACUGUUCAUCCCGCCCCCAUCUGAGGUGACGGGAAAAGGACUGGGGAAUUUCCAUUUCUCAUUAAAAGGAGGGCUGAAGUGAGAACCCGCAAGAAGUAACAAAAUAUGAAGUAGACCUAACCCUGCUCUUGGAGAGUCUUGUGCGUCCAAGAUGCAAGAGGCGUCGAGGUAGCAAAGUAGCUCCCACCUGUCGCUCUCCCUCGGGCGCCGCGGCUAUGGCCGGAAGUAGCUGCACGGGGAUUGGCGGAAAGAAGCAAUCAGUCUCAGCGAAGCCCCAUCUUCCUGCCAUUUCCUGGUUGGAAGGUGGCAACGUCAGUCACCACAUCAGGCUCCGCCUCCAGGACAGGUGAGGCUACUUAACCCGUUUGCCUCCGGCUGUUUGGGAAAGAGUCAAAGACUGGGAGCGGCUGCGGUAAUCCGGAAUCCGGGUAGGGCUGAUUCUGUUUGGCGCCUCACACCUGUCCUGGCAGAGCGCUGCGCCGGGAGCCUAAGCAACCCUUGAGCAGCUCGGUUGGCUGCUCUGAAGCUUCUCCACCCGCCCGCGCGCCUGGUGCUGGACUGGCGCGCUCUACAGCCUUGGGGCAGGAUGGGGCCGCGUUCUCUCGGGGAAGCUGGCGGGCUGGACAGCGCCAUCCCUUGGUCCCGGGAACUGUCCGGCAGAGGAAGACGAACGGAUCUCUCUGUAGUCCUGGAUGUCCUAGACCACACUGUGUAGACCAGGCUGAAAUCCUCCCACUUCUGCCUCCUGAGUGCUGGGAUCAAUAAUAAAUCUCUUCAACACCUACUAGAGAAUGUCACCUGUGCCUUGUGGAGGGAGAGGGGGCAUGGGACACCCAUCCCUAUGAUAGUCUACUAUAUCUUACUUCAGGAAGAUUUGUAUUUUGGAAAUUAUCUACCCAACAUCUUUCUAUCCAUGAAAGAAAGCUGAGAUUCUUCAUCAGGAACACUCAAGAAGUCAACGGCAGCACCAGAAUGAGAACCAGGUCUUUGAACUCCAGGGUGCACAUCCAGGGCUGCUCAUAAACUCGACCUGCCUUCCCCCGGCCAUGUCUAGGAGACCAAAGGCUGCCCUGGGUUCCUAGGCAGCUCCUUCACCAACCUGCCGUGUUCUGAGCACCAAGGCUCAGAGGCCGAAAUGAGACCCUGGAGCAGGUAUAGUGAGUGGUGGUUCCAGCCCUUUGUCAGUUUUUGAAACAGGGUCUUAUAUGGCCCAAGCUAGUCUCAAACUCACUAUGUAGUUGAACUCCUAAUUCUCCUGUCACUGCCUCUAAGUACUGAAAUUACAGUUGUGUACCACUGUCCCCAGCUUAAAAAAGAUAAGAUUAUUUUUAACAUAAAAUUAUUCUGUUUGUUGCUACUCUCUUUGAGAAGGGCAGGAGUAGCUGGGGAUCGUGUGUUCUCUAAGCAGGAGCUUUACCAUUUACCCACGUCUUCAUUCCUAUUCACUGUUACUAGGGGCUGUUCUUUGGUUUGGGUGUUUUGAGACAGAGUCUUGCUCUGUAGCUAAGGCUAGCCAGAACCUACCAUGUGGCCUAGGCUAGGCUCAACCUUAAAAUCCUUGUACUUCAGCCUCUUCAGUGCUAAGAUUUCAGGUGUACAUUAACACACCUAACUCAUUGUCUUUUUUUUUUCUGAUUAUCCACAACGUAUUUUUAAAGAUUUAUUUAUUUUUACUUUAUGUGUAUGAGUAUUUUACCACAUGUAUUUAAGGGUACUUUGGGCAUGCCUGGUGCUCAAGGAAGCUAACACAUGGUGCUGGAUCCCCUGGAACUGGAGUUAGGGACAGUUAUAAGCUGCAUAUAGAUGUUGGGCAUCAUACUUAGGUCCUCUGGAAGAGCUGCAUGCGCUCUUGACUGCUGAAU